AAAGUCUUAGAGUUUGAUUGGUA
rnacentral:siRNA from 1 species